rnacentral:rRNA from 1 species
GAGUGAGACUGCGGGCGACAAGGUUCGUAGUCGAGAGGGAAACAGCCCGGACCGCCGGCUAAGGUCCCGAAUGUAUGCUAAGUGUGAAAUGAUGUGCCAUGGCGAAGACAGCCAGGAGGUUGGCUUAGAAGCAGCCAUUCCUUAAAAGAGUGCGUAAUAGCUCACUGGUCGAGUCAUGACGCGCAGACAAUGUAACGGGGCUAAGCAUACAACCGAAGCCGCGGGUUCAGCAAGUAAGUGCUGGACGGUAGGGGAGCAUUCCACGGACCGAAGAAGGUGUACUGUAAGGUAUGCUGGAGGGGGUGGAAGAGAGAAUGCAGGUAUAAGUAGACGAAAAGACGGGUGAGAUUCCCUCCGCCGAAAGCCUAAGGAUUCCUGGGUAAAGGUCAUCUGCCCAGGGUAAGUCGGCCCCUAAGGCGAGGACGAAAGUCGUAGUCGAUGGGAAACUGGUUCAAAUUCCCGUACCCUUCUUGGUAUUGAGGGAAUAACCCAUGAGGUGAAACCCGGCCGGCCGAAGGUAGUCCCGGUCAAAGCCGCAUUUAUUCACCGGAAGGCAUAUCCGUCUGGGAACGCGAGCGGCCAGCGCGAGUGCAGCUACGGCAAACCGAAGCGGUCAUAGUCACGGUGCCUAAAACUAAUCUCAAAAGUUAGGCUGACCGAGACCCUACCCGUAAACCGAUACGCGUGGGCGGCAUGAUCAAGCUCACGCGCUAGAUAGAAUUCACGUUAUGGAACUCGGGAAAUGC